CAUGUGCGAUCUGCCUCCCGCGGCGGGCCGAGUCUCCAGGAAGGACCUGAGUUUUCUUUACCCAUGGUCAGGGAGGCGCCAUCGCCCUGGCUUUGGGGCUGGGGCCUCAGGGGAGGUUCCGGUAGGGGCCUUGGAGAGGCUGCUCUUUUUGCAAGGCCCGACACGGCGGGCCCUGCGCAGGCCACCCUAUUCCCCGCCCUCAGGGCGUCAGUAUCCGCCUGAGGCCGGAUACCCCCGCUGGGCCCAGAUGCUCCCUCUGGGCCCGGAGCAUCCUCGGCGCUGCCCUCCCAGAGCCCCGCAGAGGCUGAAGUGGCGCGGGGUAGGGGGGCCCGGCUCCGCGAGAAGCGGCGGCAGCGAGGGCUGGAGGACCCGGGCUCCCGGGCUCCGGGUCUCCGGGGCUCCGGGGGGUCUGGCCUGGGUGGGACUGAGCCCAUCCAGGAACUGGGACUCCGGGGUUCUGGUGUGGGUGGAUCCGGGGCAGGCUCAGGACCAAGUCCCUCUCCUUCCACCAAGAAGCGCCCAGAGGCCGGCGGGAGCUCCAGGUUCACCUCCUCCUCCUCCAGGAAAACCCACUUCCAACUGGAUGUCUGGAUGAACUACUGAAAGCUGCUGAGUGUCCUGCAGCAGGGGGUAAUAUCGAGUUCCAGAAGGCAAAGAUUAACAUUCAGAAAAAUAGGAAAAACAACCUGCAGAGUUACUAUGAAUUAUUAUAUUGUGGCUACUUACACCAAGAUGAAGAUAAUUUAUUAGCUCAGGAAGAAUCUGCAUUCUGAAGGCAAAUAGAAGUUCCAGAUACAGAUGGGAAGAUGCAUGCCCUCUCAAUUCCUGAUGGACCUCCUAGUGCCUCCUGGACCUAAGGGGCCUCCUGCAAUGUUCCAAGACGCCACCAAGGCAGGGAUCAGCUCGUGCAUUCCUGAGAACUUCCAGGAUGAAGUGAGGCUCUGGAAAAAUGCAAGAGUUUCCACAUAAUCCCAAAAAACCCUACAGGUGAACUGGAUGCCACAGAAAGAUGAGUGGUCUUUGACACAACAAAAUCAACAAAAUUAUUUUGAAGUCAAAUAGGAAACUCAGAAAUCACUCUUGCUGCCAUUAAGUGGAAGAACAGGAGCCUGUGAAUGGCAUCCCUGGCCUACAUGAGACUCCACAGAUAUUUCUAUGUGGCCUCAGACACCAGAAAUCUCUGUGAUUUUCAGAAAGGCAGGGACAGCUCAUGCCAGCCCGUCCCUCUGCAGAAUGUGUCCCAGCAGAUCAGC
rnacentral:lncRNA from 1 species